rnacentral:rRNA from 1 species
CACCCAACAGCUAGCCCAAUUAAACAAUUUCAACCAACCCCUGUUAAUAACCCCUAAAUACCCCAGUAUUUAAAUUAAACAAACCAUUUUUCCCCCUUAGUAUAGGCGAUAGAAAAGGGACUACGGCGCAAUAGAGAAAGUACCGCAAGGGAAUGCUGAAAGAGAAAUGAAACAACCCAGUAAAGCCCCAAAAAGCAGAGAUUCAAACUCGUACCUUUUGCAUCAUGAUUUAGCGAGUGUAUCCCAAGCAAAGAGUACUUUAGUUUGAUGUCCCGAAACUAAGUGAGCUACUCCAAGACAGCCUAUUAAUAGGGCACACCCGUCUCUGUGGCAAAAGAGUGGGGCGAGCUUUGAGUAGAGGUGACAAACCUACCGAACCUAGUUAUAGCUGGUUGUCCAAGAAAUGAAUAGAAGUUCAGCCUCUUGGCUUCUCUUUUCACCCUAGUUUAACCCCUAUUGAUGCAUUAAAGAAACCGAGAGAGUUAGUCAAAGGGGGUACAGCCCCUUUGAAUCAAGACACAACUUUAUCAGGCGGGUAAAGAUCAUA